CCGAGGAGAGAGGAGGGGAAACAGCAUAGAUAUAUAUAAACACUAGAUGGCUCAUGGGAGAUUUUCCAGCGUUGCUGACUGGCCGUCAUCUUGCUACAGUUAACAGUUACUCUGAUUCGCGUUAUGGUAGCUGUUGUAAGAAGUACCUGACUAUGCCGGACUUUUGUGCAGCCUACGGAUGCUCUAAUCACCGCAGUCUGCAAACAAGAACCCGUGGGAUCACCUUUCACGUGUUUCCCAAAACCGAAGAGAGGAGGAGGCAGUGGGAACUCGCCCUAAGAAGGGACGGUUUUGUUUCCUGUGACAGGACACUGCUUUGCAGUGAGCACUUCAGGAGUGAGUAAUUUGACCGGACAGGGCAGACUAAUGGCGAAUCGCUACCACUGGGAGCAUAUAUCGCCACCUAUUAUGUAUUUAUUAAAUCUUCAUGUUCCAUGAGACGCAGCACUAUGUUCCCCACAUAUGUUUAUGUUUGCUCAGUCUAAUAAACCCAUAACAUGGUUGUGAAAGAAUACCAAAGCUGA